CUAACAGGACGGAGCAACACUUCUUUCAGGAAAAGUGACUUAAGGCCUGAUUUUGCAAUUCGCUUUGUAGACGCGGACAUGGAUCAAAUAAAAACUGAAAAUCAAAAACUGCAGCAGAGAGUACAGUUUCUUGAGGAGCAAUGCAAAAAGUAUGAGGUCAGAAUACAGGUACUAGAAGACAAGCUGGCAACUAAUAGUACAUCCGAAAAAGUUGAAAGUUCAGCUACUCAGAUUGACGGGUAGCUUGAAUAGCUCGUCUGGUUUUAAAAUGCAAUAAACAGAAGUUUCUUCUUA